rnacentral:lncRNA from 1 species
UCAGCAAUUAUAAACAAAAACUUAAACAAAUAGAAAACAAAACUCCAGCUAUUAUAUUUAAGUUCAUCAAUUACAAACAAAAAUUUCAGCAAAUAAAGAACAAAACUUCAGUUACACUAUGCUUAAGUUCAGCAACUACAAAUAAAAACUUCAGGCCCAUCUACCAGAAUGCUAAAGUUUUGCGUGAUUGUCUUUGCUACUUCAUCAUGUAUGCUGAAGUUAUGCGAAAAAGUGGGUAUACUUGUAUUUUUUUUGCAAAACGGUAACAAGUUAAAACGUGACCCAAAAAGCGGGUAUGGAUGUAAAUGCCCCAAAGCCACUAUUUUUCUUCUUUAUUAGGCUUUGCACAAUUAGCCAACAAUUAAUUAACCUAAAAUAUAAAGCUAAAAAAUUCAAAUUAACCUAUUUAAUAAUAUAUGAUUGACUAAAUUAAUUAACUAAAAAUGCAUAUGAAAAUUACUAAAGUAUUUUUUGUUGUGAUUUUCAUGAUUACGAUAUUCCUAAGAUGCUAGAACAAUGCGACUAAAUGCAAAACAAAUAAAGAAUAAAUCCUAAUAUUCAUAAAAAUAAUAAAUAUUAUUUUUGAAUUAUUUUUAGGAGUAAUUAAAUCCUAAUAUUCAUAAAAAUAAUAAAAAUUAAUUUUGAAUUAUUUUUAGGAGUAAUUUCUUUUGUGGGGAAAAAUUAGAUGCUCAGAAGCGCGUUAAGUCAACAAUGGUCAAAGCAAAGAAGCUCAACUUCCAAUCAGAGAUCCGGUUUCUGUUGGAUUUGAUAGACAAGAACAUUGGGAAGGAAUCCAGUACUCCGCCUCAUAAGAUAGAUAGUGCGACUCGAUUUGAUAGACAAGAACAUUGGGAAGGAAUCCAGUACUCCGCCUCCUAAGAUAGAUAGUGUGACUCCGACUUCGGGGUAUAUUAAUGCUUGAUUUGGGAAUAAAACCGACAAAUCUUGUUGCAAGCUAUAGUGGAAACAAUUGUAGUAUCAACAAAGAAAGUAGAUUGCAGGGAAAUAAACAAGGUCAAUAUGGAAAUCAGGUUACUGGCUAACAGUUUGCUCCAUCUAGCUCUGUGGGCAUUUAUAUGAGCUAUAAUAGUUAUAUGGUAGAACAGGCCAUAGUGCUUCAAACUGUCCAAGGCCUAAUGUAUUUUCAAAAGGACAGAUUAACAGAAAGCGUAUGCACAACGCUAGCUUGGAUAGAAUAUCUUAUAUUUAUUAGAAAAACAUUUUCCUCCAAGUUCAAACACAUAUCAUCUGAUCAUAAAAGAUGAAAACUCAACAGAGUAAAAUACAUAAGCAGUAGGCUGAAAACCAUUGAAAUGUAUAUGAGGCCAGAAUGGGGUGGUAACAUAUCCCAAAUUUGAUAGCAAUUUACUUCUGAAUGGCAAUGCAAAUUUAAUUUUAUGUUUCUCUAGAACAGCAAGUAUCUAUUAAACAGAUAUUUAAGUCGAGAAUUGAACUCCAACAACACCGGAUUUCAAAUUUUUAAAGCAAAUCCUAGCUUUGAACUCACAAACACACAAGAAUAAAGUUUCAGCAGAAAAUUCAUGAAAUAAUCCUUCAAAUUGCAUCAUAAAGAGACAGGGUUUUACUCAUAUCACGUGAGUAUUUAUUCAACAGCAUGCCAUGAGUCUCAAAGAAAGAUCAAAAUUCAUCAUUCAAUAUAGACCAAUCAUUAUUACAGAGUGGUAUGAACAUACCUAGACUGGAAAGACGAAUACAGAGCAGAAAUGGAGACGGCAAGACCUAGCCAAAGCAGCCACAAAUUCAACAAUUCAACCAGCAAUUUAGGAGAGUUUAUACACUUGAAAUCCCAGAAAACCACGAGCCAACAAACUGAUAUCUUUCUUCUUUUUUUUUUUCAAGAUCUGAAAGUUUUUUUUUAGCUGCUAGGUUGAAAAACGGGGAGGGAUCUGUUUGGUUCUCUCUUGAGAGGAUGGAGGGUCGCCCGAUGAAGGUUUUCUGAGAGAGAGGUCCGGCGGCGGCUAUCUUUGAGAAAGGGUAUUUGGAGUUGAUGAUAGAGGAAGGGAAUUAGGGCUUUUUGUUGGGAGGGGUCUGAUUCUCGUUCAUCCCUGGUGAAGUGAGAAGAAUGGAGAAGGAGCAAGAAGGUGUGCGGCGGAUAGGGUUUUGUAAGGCUCGGGGGGCCCUCGGUAAGGAGUUUUUCCGCAAGUGCACCACGGUUAAUUCAGGUUUUACCCAGUCCGAUGGCCCUCAUAAACUGUUUACACCCAGUGGGUUUCGAACUGAAGUGAGAAGAAAGGAGAAGGAGCAAGAAGGUGUGCGGCGGAUAGGGUUUUGUAAGGCGCCCGGGUGGGGGGGCGUUUCUGAUCUUUUUUGCAUGUGUGGAAUGGACGGAAAAGAAACAACACCGUUUAGGCAUGAAGUGGAAUGGGUUGGGAUUAUGGAAUGAUUGGGCUGAUGGUAAGAGUUGGGCCCAGAAAACUGGCCCGAGUUCGAAUUCAAGCUCUAAAAAGCCAUCGUAAAAAUUGUAAAAAUUACAUAGGGCGUCUUAUUUGGUCGCCCAUAUUUAUCUAUACCAAUUUAUUUUAAAAUUUUACUUUUUACCUAUUUUUAAAAUAAUUUUAGCUCUAUUUCUCAUUUUCCUUCUUCGUUUUCUUUCUUCUCAUCGUCCAAUUCAUAAUCUUUAUUUCAAAAAAAUAACUUUAUUAUAUCAAACAUAGUAUACACUCCCAUGGUUAGUUCAUACCUAUUUGCAUAAUUCAUUAAUGAAAGGAGUUACACUAUCUCUUAUAAUAGGUCUGCUUAUGCGCUCUACUUUAACACUAUCUAGAGAUGAAGUUUUUCGAUUACAAAAACAAAAACUUCAAUUCUAGAGCUAAAAUUUGCCAGCUAUAAAAUAAAAACUUUAGCUCUAAGGCUGAAGUUUGCCAGUUACAAAAAUAAAAACUUCAGCUCUAGGCCAGUUACAAAAUAAAACUUCAAGUCUAGAACCGAAGUUCGCCAGUUACAAAACAAAAACUUCAGCUCUAGAGCUGAACUUCAACCCCAUCUUUGCUACUUCAGCUCUGUAUGCUGAAGUUAUGCGAAAAAGCGGGUACACUUGUAAUAUUUUUACAAAGCGGACAUAAGUUAAAACGUGACACAAAAAAUUGCACGCAUCGCCCUAUUUCGUCGCUCUCACUUAACCCAUAUUAAUUUUUUAAAAACUCGUACCCACUUUUUAAACAACUUCAGCCCAAUUUCUUUUCCUCCUCCUCCUCCUCCUCCUUGGUUUUCUUUUUCUUCUUCUUCUUCUUCUUCUUCUUCCUCUUCUUCUUCUUCUUCUUUUCUUCUUCUUUCUUUUGUUAUUGUUGGUAAAAUUCAGCUCAUGGGAUGAUUGCCAUAAAUAUAUUUAUUCGAUUAUUUAAAAAUAAAUUAUAAAUAAUUAAGUAAGUUAGUAGAUAAUAAUUUGUGAAUAUUUCCACGUACGUAAGUUAUUACACAAUGAUAAUUCUAUUCUUUUCACGUUUAUUGUUUCCAAAAUUUAUAAUUUAGAUAAUGUUGUCAAUUUGAUUAUUUAUCUAGUAUGUUAGAAAGACUUUCAAAAACUUCAGCUUAUAUAGUGCUGAAACUUUUACAAAUGAACUGAAUAACUUCAGCAUCUUCUACUAAAGUUUUUGAAAAGGCUUUAUGACAAAACUAAUGAAUCCGGGACAAAAAAAAUUCAGCUUUUAGUGCUAAAAUUUUUACAAAUGAACUAAAUAAUUGAAGCAGCUUCCGCUGAAGUUUUUGAAAAAACUUAUACAAGACAAAAACAAUUCAGCUUAUUUAGUGUUGAAGUUUUAUAAAUGAACUAAAUAACUUCAACAUCUUCUGCUGAAGUAUUUGAAAAAUCUUAAUGAUAAAACUAAUGAAUCCAGGACAAACAAACUUCAGCUUAUUUAGUGCAAUUACAAACAAAAACUUCAGCAAAUAGUGAACAAAACUUCACUCAUAUUUAAGUUCAGCAAUCAUAAACAAAAACUUAAGCAAAUAGAAAACAAAACUCCAACUAUUAUGUUUAAGUUCAUCAAUUACAAACAAAAAUUUCAGCAAAUAAAGAACAAAACUUCAGUUACACUAUGCUUAAGUUCAGCAACUACGAAUAAAAACUCCAGGCCCAUCUACCAGAAUGCUAAAGUUUUGCGUGAUUGUCUUUGCUACUUCAUCAUGUAUGCUGAAGUUAUGCGAAAAAGUGGGUAUACUUGUAUUUUUUUUGCAAAACGGUCACAAGUUAAAACGUGACCCAAAAAGCGGGUAUGGAUGUAAAUGCCCCAAAGCCACUAUUUUUCUUCUUUAUUAGGCUUUGCACAAUUAGCCAACAAUUAAUUAACCUAAAAUAUAAAGCUAAAAAAUUCAAAUUAACCUAUUUAAUAAUAUAUGAUUGACUAAAUUAAUUAACUAAAAAUGCAUAUGAAAAUUACUAAAGUAUUUUUUGUUGUGAUUUUCAUGAUUACGAUAUUCCUAAGAUGCUAGAACAAUGCGACUAA